GCAAAGAAGAAGGACGCCGACAAGGAUAAGCCAAAGCCGAAAGGUGCUCCCACCAAAAAGCAAGAUUCCUCAAGCAGCGAUUCCUCGAGCGAAAGUGGCAGCGACUCGGAAUCAUCUAAGGACUCGUC
rnacentral:rRNA from 1 species